GCCGACGUAGCUCAGUUGGUAGAGCACAUCACUCGUAAUGAUGGGGUCGGGAGUUCGAGUCUCCCCGUCGGCU
rnacentral:tRNA from 1 species